AAGAGUUUGAUCAUGGCUCAGAUUGAACGCUGGCGGCAGGCCUAACACAUGCAAGUCGAGCGGUAGCACAGAAGAGCUUGCUCUUUGGGUGACGAGCGGCGGACGGGUGAGUAAUGUCUGGGAAACUGCCUGAUGGAGGGGGAUAACUACUGGAAACGGUAGCUAAUACCGCAUAACCUCGCAAGAGCAAAGAGGGGGACCUUCGGGCCUCUCGCCAUCAGAUGUGCCCAGAUGGGAUUAGCUAGUAGGUGAGGUAAUGGCUCACCUAGGCGACGAUCCCUAGCUGGUCUGAGAGGAUGACCAGCCACACUGGAACUGAGACACGGUCCAGACUCCUACGGGAGGCAGCAGUGGGGAAUAUUGCACAAUGGGCGCAAGCCUGAUGCAGCCAUGCCGCGUGUGUGAAGAAGGCCUUCGGGUUGUAAAGCACUUUCAGCGAGGAGGAAGGCGGUAAGGUUAAUAACCUUAUCGAUUGACGUUACUCGCAGAAGAAGCACCGGCUAACUCCGUGCCAGCAGCCGCGGUAAUACGGAGGGUGCAAGCGUUAAUCGGAAUGACUGGGCGUAAAGCGCACGCAGGCGGUCUGUUAAGUUGGAUGUGAAAUCCCCGGGCUUAACCUGGGAACUGCAUUCAAAACUGACAGGCUAGAGUCUUGUAGAGGGGGGUAGAAUUCCAGGUGUAGCGGUGAAAUGCGUAGAGAUCUGGAGGAAUACCGGUGGCGAAGGCGGCCCCCUGGACAAAGACUGACGCUCAGGUGCGAAAGCGUGGGGAGCAAACAGGAUUAGAUACCCUGGUAGUCCACGCUGUAAACGAUGUCGAUUUGGAGGUUGUGCCCUUGAGGCGUGGCUUCCGGAGCUAACGCGUUAAAUCGACCGCCUGGGGAGUACGGCCGCAAGGUUAAAACUCAAAUGAAUUGACGGGGGCCCGCACAAGCGGUGGAGCAUGUGGUUUAAUUCGAUGCAACGCGAAGAACCUUACCUACUCUUGACAUCCAGAGAAUUUGCUAGAGAUACCUGAGUGCCUUCGGGAACUCUGAGACAGGUGCUGCAUGGCUGUCGUCAGCUCGUGUUGUGAAAUGUUGGGUUAAGUCCCGCAACGAGCGCAACCCUUAUCCUUUGUUGCCAGCGAUUCGGUCGGGAACUCAAAGGAGACUGCCGGUGAUAAACCGGAGGAAGGUGGGGAUGACGUCAAGUCAUCAUGGCCCUUACGAGUAGGGCUACACACGUGCUACAAUGGCGUAUACAAAGAGAAGCGACCUCGCGAGAGCAAGCGGACCUCAUAAAGUACGUCGUAGUCCGGAUUGGAGUCUGCAACUCGACUCCAUGAAGUCGGAAUCGCUAGUAAUCGUAGAUCAGAAUGCUACGGUGAAUACGUUCCCGGGCCUUGUACACACCGCCCGUCACACCAUGGGAGUGGGUUGCAAAAGAAGUAGGUAGCUUAACCUUCGGGAGGGCGCUUACCACUUUGUGAUUCAUGACUGGGGUGAAGUCGUAACAAGGUAACCGUAGGGGAACCUGCGGUUGGAUCACCUCCUUA
rnacentral:rRNA from 1 species